rnacentral:lncRNA from 10 species
CUAACACCUUCCUGUUGUUCCAGGGAGACCCAUAUAGACAUAUGGCCUGCAGAAUUACACAGCAUCAUCUCUACCCAUAAAAGAUGGCAUUCUGCAAGACUGAGAAGAUGCCCACCUCCAUUCCCAGAGUCCAGGCCUUCAUUAACUCACACGAGAACUACAGAAGCAUCACCCCUAGUUCUCCUAUUAGUCACUCCUCCUCAACUGCCUCUAAUCCAUCCAUCCAUCUAUCCGGCAUGGGUCAUGUAAAGUUACAGCUGAGAAGGGCUGGAUACAGUGAACUGGAGGAAUAGCGGGGAGAAUUGCCAAUACUCAGGAGUCAGGCUUCACAUUGAUCAUGCAGCUAAUAAGAAAGAAGGCAAAGGUACCAAGCCCCUUGCCAUAUGAGAGCUUCCAGCAACUUUGGCAGAAGAUAGAAAGGAAAAUACUACUACUAUUUAGAAACUGCACUGAUAUUUCUUGACUUCUCCUGAAUCGAC